GAUGAACGCUGGCGGCAGGCCUAACACAUGCAAGUCGAGCGGUAGAGAGAAGCUUGCUUCUCUUGAGAGCGGCGGACGGGUGAGUAAUGCCUAGGAAUCUGCCUGGUAGUGGGGGAUCACGUUCGGAAACGGACGCUAAUACCGCAUACGUCCUACGGGAGAAAGAAGGAGACCUUCGGGCCUUGCGCUAUCAGAUGAGCCUAGGUCGGAUUAGCUAGUUGGUGAGGUAAUGGCUCACCAAGGCGACGAUCCGUAACUGGUCUGAGAGGAUGAUCAAUCACACUGGAACUGAGACACGGUCCAGACUCCUACGGGAGGCAGCAGUGGGGAAUAUUGGACAAUGGGCGAAAGCCUGAUCCAGCCAUGCCGCGUGUGUGAAGAAGGUCUUCGGAUGUAAAGCACUUUAAGUUGGGAGGAAGGGCAGUUACCUAAUACGUAAUUGAUUUGACGUUACCGACAGAAUAAUCACCGGCUAACUCUGUGCCAGCAGCCGCAGUAA
rnacentral:rRNA from 1 species